CACUGUAAUAACAAAACAAUAGUCGGUUAAUGCUCCGGCUCAUCUAAAAAUUCCGGCAGCAUGAGCAAAAACGAUUGCCGGCUGAUAGCGGAGGAGACGUCAAGCGCCACCGUUAAACGGAAGCAUAUUUACUUUGAAGAAUUUGACCAUAACAUACAAAGCGAGCGGAAAAAACGGUUGUCCUCUGGAGGCGAAAUUAAAAUCAAAACCCUAGCUUUACAAGCCGAACCGGUACGGAACCCGCCAGAUUUGAACCGUUUCCAAGCCCUCCGUCCUUGCUCGUCUUCAUCUUCAUCGUAUAGGGUGCAUAGAAAGAGGCAGAAGAGAAGCAAUUUCAGCAGCUCUGGAGCUUCUCGCCGAUGGGUCUUCUCUUCCUAUGAUUGUUCUGAUUGUAAAGAUAAAAUUGUCAUUGUUUCAUAUAAUAUACUUGGUGUGGAAAAUGUGGAAAAGCAUCCUGACUUGUAUCUAAAUGUCCCACAAAAGUUCUUGGAGUGGGAUUGGCGUAAAGACCUAAUAUGUAAGGAGGUCAAUUGUUACAAUGCGGACAUCCUGUGUUUUCAGGAGGUUGACCGCUUUAAGGAUUUGGACGAUCUGCUGUGUAAAGAUGGCUUUAAAGGUGUUUACAAGGCUCGCACAGGUGAUGCUUGUGAUGGUUGUGCUCUAUUCUGGAACCACAAAAAAUUUACCCUUUUGCAUGAAGAAAAUAUAGAUUUCCGGGAUUUUGACCUCCGUGACAAUGUUGCACAAUUUUGUGUUUUGAAGACAAAACAACAUCAACCAAAGUCUAAUUCGCAUGCAAAUCCGUCAAAGAUAAAAAAAAGGCGAAGCCGUAGAUUAUUGGUCGGAAAUAUACAUGUGUUGUUCAACCCAAACCGUGGAGAUAUAAAGCUGGGCCAGGUCCGGCUGUUUCUUGAGAAGGCUCACAAACUAUCACAAGAAUGGGGCAAUAUCCCUGUUAUACUUGUAGGGGAUUUUAACAGCAUUCCUCAGAGUGCUAUGUAUCAAUUUCUGGCAUCAUCAGAGCUCAAUACCCAACUCCAUGAUCGCCGACAGAUUUCUGGACAGCUUGAAUAUCCAUCACGGAGAAGAGAAAUUAGAGCUCAACACAAGCAUAUAUACAGGCACCGUGUUUGGACGCACGACUCCAGGCAGUUAAUGUCUUCAUGGAGUGAUGAAGAAGUAGAGCUUGCAACCGGCAAUAAACAAGUCACUCAUCUGCAACACAAAUUGAACCUUUGUAGUGCUUAUCUCAGGGCUCCUGGGAACCGCAGAACAAGAGAUAGUCAUGGAGAGCCCUUGGCAACAUCGUACCACUCCAAGUUAUGGGGACUGUAGAUUAUUAUGGCAUACGGAGGAACUUGUUCCUGUGAGAGUUCUCGACACGUUACCCAUUGAUGUAUUGAGAAGAAAUGCAAGUCUUCCUACUGAGAGGUGGGGUAGCGACCAUCUUGCUCUUGUAUGUGAAUUGGCCUUUUCUGAUGAUUUGAAGGGACCUUAAAUUGUUAUGUUUGUAUGUGAUCUGAAAAUUAUGUAGCAAUAUCCUCUUCCUCACGCAUAGGGUGAAUGCACGAGAUUGUCGGGGCACGAUAACGCUUCUCUCGGCAGAAGACGACCGAUGUACCGAAAGUAUUGGAGGGGAGCUUUGAAUUUCUUACAACUUGAGACAUUAGUUUAUGUUUUCUUGUACUUGAAAGAAUGAAAA